AGAGUUUGAUCCUGGCUCAGGACGAACGCUGGCGGCGUGCCUAAUACAUGCAAGUAGAACGCUGAAGGAGGAGCUUGCUUCUCUGGAUGAGUUGCGAACGGGUGAGUGACGCGUAGGUAACCUGCCUGGUAGCGGGGGAUAACUAUUGGAAACGAUAGCUAAUACCGCAUAAUAGUAGAUGUUGCAUGACAUUUGCUUAAAAGGUGCAAUUGCAUCACUACCAGAUGGACCUGCGUUGUAUUAGCUAGUAGGUGAGGUAACGGCUCACCUAGGCGACGAUACAUAGCCGACCUGAGAGGGUGAUCGGCCACACUGGGACUGAGACACGGCCCAGACUCCUACGGGAGGCAGCAGUAGGGAAUCUUCGGCAAUGGACGAAAGUCUGACCGAGCAACGCCGCGUGAGUGAAGAAGGUUUUCGGAUCGUAAAGCUCUGUUGUAAGAGAAGAACGGGUGUGAGAGUGGAAAGUUCACACUGUGACGGUAUCUUACCAGAAAGGGACGGCUAACUACGUGCCAGCAGCCGCGGUAAUACGUAGGUCCCGAGCGUUGUCCGGAUUUAUUGGGCGUAAAGCGAGCGCAGGCGGUUAGAUAAGUCUGAAGUUAAAGGCUGUGGCUUAACCAUAGUACGCUUUGGAAACUGUUUAACUUGAGUGCAGAAGGGGAGAGUGGAAUUCCAUGUGUAGCGGUGAAAUGCGUAGAUAUAUGGAGGAACACCGGUGGCGAAAGCGGCUCUCUGGUCUGUAACUGACGCUGAGGUUCGAAAGCGUGGGGAGCGAACAGGAUUAGAUACCCUGGUAGUCCACGCCGUAAACG
rnacentral:rRNA from 1 species